GUGGGGAAUAUUGGACAAUGGGCGAAAGCCUGAUCCAGCAAUGCCGCGUGAGUGAUGAAGGCCUUAGGGUUGUAAAGCUCUUUUACCCGGGAUGAUAAUGACAGUACCGGGAGAAUAAGCUCCGGCUAACUCCGUGCCAGCAGCCGCGGUAAUACGGAGGGAGCUAGCGUUGUUCGGAAUUACUGGGCGUAAAGCGCACGUAGGCGGCUUUGUAAGUUAGAGGUGAAAGCAUGGAGCUUAACUCCAGAACUGCCUUUAAGACUGCAUCGCUUGAAUCCAGGAGAGGUGAGUGGAAUUCCGAGUGUAGAGGUGAAAUUCGUAGAUAUUCGGAAGAACACCAGUGGCGAAGGCGGCUCACUGGACUGGUAUUGACGCUGAGGUGCGAAAGCGUGGGGAGCAAACAGGAUUAGAAACCCUAGUAGUCC
rnacentral:rRNA from 1 species